rnacentral:rRNA from 1 species
AAAGUCCCGCAAGGGAUGAGUAGAGUGGCAAACGGGUGAGUAACGCGUGGGUGACCUGCCUUCGAGUGGGGGAUAACGCUCCGAAAGGGACGCUAAUACCGCAUAACAUCCUGCCUUUUAAGAGGUGGAGAUCAAAGCCUGGGACCGCAAGGCCAGGCGCUUGACGAGGGGCCCGCGUCUGAUUAGCUAGUUGGUGGGGUAAUGGCUCACCAAGGCAACGAUCAGUAUCCGGCCUGAGAGGGCGGACGGACACACUGGGACUGAGACACGGCCCAGACUCCUACGGGAGGCAGCAGUGGGGAAUUGUUCGCAAUGGGCGCAAGCCUGACGACGCAACGCCGCGUGGAGGAUGAAGACCUUCGGGUCGUAAACUCCUUUCGAUCGAGACGAAUGGCCUCCGGGUGAAUAGUCCGGAGGAGUGACGGUACCGAGAGAAGAAGCCCCGGCUAACUCCGUGCCAGCAGCCGCGGUAAUACGGGGGGGGCAAGCGUUGUUCGGAAUUACUGGGCGUAAAGGGCUCGUAGGUGGCCAACUAAGUCAGACGUGAAAUCCCUCGGCUUAACCGGGGAACUGCGUCUGAUACUGGAUGGCUUGAGUUUGGGAGAGGGACGCGGAAUUCCAGGUGUAGCGGUGAAAUGCGUAGAUAUCUGGAGGAACACCGGUGGCGAAGGCGGCGUCCUGGACCAACACUGACACUGAUGAGCGAAAGCCAGGGGAGCAAACGGGAUUAGAUACCCCGGUAGUCCUGGCCCUAAACGAUGAAUGCUUGGUGUGGCGGGUAUCGAUCCCUGCCGUGCC